UACGUAGGGUGCGAGCGUUAAUCGGAAUUACUGGGCGUAAAGUGUGCGCAGGCGGCCGAGCAAGUCGAGUGUGAAAGCCCCGAGCUUAACUUGGGAACUGCGCUCGAAACUACUUGGCUAGAGUGUGGCAGAGGGAGGUGGAAUUCCACGUGUAGCGGUGAAAUGCGUAGAGAUGUGGAGGAACCCCGAUGGCGAAGGCAGCCUCCUGGGCCAACACUGACGCUCAUGCACGAAAGCGUGGGGAGCAAACAGG
rnacentral:rRNA from 1 species